UUGCAGUCCUGAUGCAUGAAGAAAUGCUCAACUCCUGAUGCAUGGAGAAAAGGCCUUCACAAGCCUCUGCUAAUGUGUACCUAGUUUAUACUAAGUGACAAACAGGUUGAGGAGGCGGUGACCUGGUGUAGGUGGAAGCAGCGUUGGAGGAGGAGGAUGAGGUAGCCAAUAUCAACUUUCAAUGCCAGAGUCUGUGCCUACCAUGGUGACCACAGGUAUCGGGGAAUCAGGGUUCCAAUCCGUACAGGGACCCUGAGAAAUGGCUACCACAUGCAAGGAAGGCAGCAGGUGCGCAAAUGACCCACUCCUGACGCAGGAAGGUAGUGACGA